ACAUUACCUUUAGAAGAAGCACCGGCUAACUCCGUGCCAGCAGCCGCGGUAAUACGGAGGGUGCAAGCGUUAAUCGGAAUUACUGGGCGUAAAGCGUGCGUAGGCGGUUCGUUAAGUCAGAUGUGAAAGCCCCGGGCUUAACCUGGGAACUGCAUUUGAAACUGGCGGACUUGAGUUGAGUAGAGGGGAGUGGAAUUUCAGGUGUAGCGGUGAAAUGCGUAGAUAUCUGAAGGAACACCAGUGGCGAAGGCGACUCCCUGGACUCAAACUGACGCUGAGGUACGAAAGCGUGGGUAGCAAACAGGAUUAGAUACCCUGGUAGUCCACGCUGUAAACGAUGUCAACUAGCCGUUGGUCCUAUUUACAGGAUUAGUGGCGCAGCUAACGCAUUAAGUUGACCGCCUGGGGAGUACGGCCGCAAGGUUAAAACUCAAAUGAAUUGACG
rnacentral:rRNA from 1 species